rnacentral:lncRNA from 10 species
CGUACAGUCUCAGCCACCUGGGAGGCUGAGACUACAGGUGCAUGUCAUCAUGCCUGGCUGAUUUAUUAUUUUAUUUCAUUUUAUCUUAAGAUGGAAUUUCGCUCUUCUUGCCCAGGCUGGAGUGCAAUGGUGUGAUCCUGACUCACUGCAACCUCCACUUCCCAGUUUCAAGGGUGUCUCCUGCCUCAGCCUUCCUAGUAGCUGGGAUUACAGGCGCGUGCCACCAUACCUGGCUAACUUUUGUAUUUUCAUUAGAUAUGGGGUUUUGCCAUGUUGGCCAGGCUGUUCUUGAACUCCUGACCUCAGGUGAUCUGCCUGCCUCAGCCUCCCAAAGUGUUGAAAUUACAGGCACAAGCCACUGCACUGAGCCAUUUUUUAAAUUUUUUGUAGAGACAGGGUCUCACUAUGUUGCCCAAGCUAGUCUUGAACUCCUGGCCUCAAGUGAUCCUCCUGCCUGGAUUCCUAAAGUGCUGGGAUUACCAGCAUGAGCCACCAUGCCUGGCUUUAUGUUCAUUUCUUCUUGUGGCUGCAACAAACUUUCCUACAUUUAGUGGCUAAAAACACCACAAAUCAACCAUCUUUACAGUUCUGGGGGCCAGAAGCCCAAACUAGGUCUAUUAAAGCUAAAGUCAAGGUGUCAGCAGGGCUGCAUUCCUUUUGAAGGCUCUAGGCUCUAACAUUUUCUCUUGGCUUUUCCAGCUUCUAGAAGCCACCCCCAUUCCUUGGAUCAUGGCCCCUUACUCCAUUUUCAAAGUCAGAAGUGAAGCAUCUUCAAAUCUCCCUCUCUGACCUCGGCUUCCAUCACAUCUCCUGCUCCAGUUCUGACUCUCCUACCCUCUUUCUUUUAUAAAGAUCAUUGUGAUUCACCUAAGGUCAAGA